rnacentral:tRNA from 1 species
AGCAGCGUAGCUCAAUGGAAAGAGCACUGGCUUAAGAGUCAGAGGUCAUGGGUUCUAAUCCUGGCUCCGCCA